AUUGAACGCUGGCGGCAGGCCUAACACAUGCAAGUCGAACGAGUGGCAGACGGGUGAGUCAUGUCUGGGAAACUGCCUGAUGGAGGGGGAUAACUACUGGAAACGGUCGCUAAUACCGCAUACCAUCGGAUGUGCCCAGAUGGGAUUGGCUGGUUGGUGGGGUAACGGCUCACGAAGGCGACGCUCCCUAGCUGGUCUGAGAGGAGGACCAGCCCUACUGGGACUGAGAUACAGGCCAGACUCCUACGGUAGGCAGCCGGGGGGAAUAUGGCACAAUGGGCGCAAGCCUGAUGCAGCCAUGCCGCGUGUAGGAAGAAGGCCGUCGGGUUUUAAAGUACUUUCAGCGGGGAGGCGUUACCCGCAGAAUAAGCACCGGCUAACUCCGUGCCAGCAGCCGCGGUAAUUC
rnacentral:rRNA from 1 species